rnacentral:misc_RNA from 1 species
GAUGAAGAACGUAGCGAAAUGCGAUAAGUAAUGUGAAUUGCAGAAUUCAGUGAAUCAUCGAAUCUUUGAACGCACCUUGCACCCUUUGGCAUUCUGAAGGGUAUGCUCGUUUGAGUGUCAUUGUACUCUCACACUCCCGAUCUUUGCAUUGGGAGCAGUGGACUUGGGUUUGCUGCUUCACCGUCGCUUACCUCAAAUAGGUUAGUGCAACUCUUGGUUGGACAUAGUACGGCGUGAUAAGUAUUCUUCGCCGGUGCCUCGCAAAGAGGGUGGCCGAUCGGGAUGUUGUGCUCCAAACCGUCUUCGGACAAUCUCUGACGACUUGACCUCAAAUCGAGUAAGACUACCCGCUGAACUUAAGCAUAUCAAUAAGCGGAGGA